rnacentral:rRNA from 1 species
AGAGUUUGAUCAUGGCUCAGAAUGAACGCUGGCGGCACGGAUUAGGCAUGCAAGUCGAGCGCGACCCCCCGCUUCGGCGGGGCAGUAGAGCGGCGAACGGGUGAGUAACACGUGAGUAACCUGCCCACUGGACCGGGAUAGCCCCGGGAAACCGGGAUUAAUACCGGAUACGCCGCGCACCGCGCCUGCGGUGUUGGGGAAACGGAGUUAUCCGCCUGUGGAGGGGCUCGCGCCCCAUUAGCUUGUUGGUAGGGUAACGGCCUACCGAGGCGAAGAUGGGUAGCUGGUCUGAGAGGAUGGUCAGUCACACUGGGACUGAGACACUGCCCAGACUCCUACGGGAGGCUGCAGUCGAGAAUCUUCGGCAAUGGGCGCAAGCCUGACCGAGCGAUGCCGCGUGAGGGAAGAAGGCCUUCGGGUCGUAAACCUCUGUCAGGAGGGACGAAAUUUGACGGUACCUCCAGAGGAAGCCACGGCUAACUACGUGCCAGCAGCCGCGGUAACACGUAGGUGGCGAGCGUUAUUCGGAAUCACUGGGCGUAAAGGGUCCGCAGGGGGUCUGCCAAGUCCGGUGUGAAAGCCCGCGGCUCAACCGCGGAAGUGCAUUGGAAACUGGCGGACUCGAGUACAGGAGAGGAGAGCGGAAUUCCCGGUGUAGCGGUGGAAUGCGUAGAUAUCGGGAGGAACACCUACGGCGAAGGCAGCUCUCUGGCCUGUUACUGACCCUGAGGGACGAAAGCGUGGGUAGCAAACAGGAUUAGA